UGGCUCAGAACGAACGCUGGCGGCAGGCCUAACACAUGCGAGUCGAGCGGUCGUAGCAAUACGGCAGCGGCAGACGGGAGAGUAACACGUGGGAACGUACCCUUCAGUUCGGAACAACCCAGGGAAACUUGGGCUAAUACCGGAUACGUCCGUAAGGAGAAAGAUUUAUCGCUGAAGGAUCGGCCCGCGUCCGAUUAGCUAGUUGGUGAGGUAAUGGCUCGGCAAGGCGACGAUCAGUAGCUGGUCUGAGAGGAUGAUCAGCCACAUUGCCACUGAGACACGGACCCAAACUCCUAC
rnacentral:rRNA from 1 species